UAGAGUUUAAGAAACUUAACCAACCCCACUUUGAAGGAGGCUCCGGCCACUUAAUAAUAAAAGCCUAGAUCCUAUAGAUAGAGAAAUCUUUCUCUAUCUUAGAUCUAACCAAGAAAAAAAAGGCUCCCUUAGUAGCCUUUAUGCUAACUAGUGAAGUUACACAUUGGUGGCGGCAUAAAAAGGAAGUCCUACCUACCCUAACCACUUGGGAGGUUUUAU
rnacentral:lncRNA from 1 species